CACGGGAGCAAUCCUGGUGGCGAGUGGCGAACGGGUGAGUAAUAUAUCGGAACGUGCCCAGUCGUGGGGGAUAACGCAGCGAAAGCUGUGCUAAUACCGCAUACGAUCUACGGAUGAAAGCGGGGGAUCGCAAGACCUCGCGCGAUUGGAGCGGCUGAUAUCAGAUUAGCUAGUUGGUGGGGUAAAGGCCUACCAAGGCGACGAUCUGUAGCUGGUCUGAGAGGACGACCAGCCACACUGGAACUGAGACACGGUCCAGACUCCUACGGGAGGCAGCAGUGGGGAAUUUUGGACAAUGGGCGCAAGCCUGAUCCAGCAAUGCCGCGUGCAGGAUGAAGGCCUUCGGGUUGUAAACUGCUUUUGUACGGAACGAAAAGGUCUCUCUUAAUACGAGAGAUUUAUGACGGUACCGUAAGAAUAAGCACCGGCUAACUACGUGCCAGCAGCCGCGGUAAUACGUAGGGUGCGAGCGUUAAUCGGAAUUACUGGGCGUAAAGCGUGCGCAGGCGGUUUUGUAAGACAGAUGUGAAAUCCCCGGGCUCAACCUGGGACCUGCAUUUGUGACUGCAAGGCUAGAGUACGGUAGAGGGGGGAUGGAAUUCCGCGUGUAGCAGUGAAAUGCGUAGAUAUGCGGAGGAACACCGAUGGCGAAGGCAAUCCCCUGGACCUGUACUGACGCUCAUGCACGAAAGCGUGGGGAGCAAACAGGAUUAGAUACCCUGGUAGUCCACGCCCUAAACGAUGUCAACUGGUUGUUGGGUCUUUACUGACUUCAUUACCAAACUUAACGCGUGAAGUUGACCGCCUGGGGAGUACGGCCGCAAGGUUGAAACUUCAAAGGAAUUGACGGGGACCCGCA
rnacentral:rRNA from 1 species